GCCCAGGCACUGACCCCCUCAAGAAGGAUGGGGCAAGGAUGGCAGAGACUGAGGGAUCUCCUGCCUCUGAGCAAAGAGACAGGUUUGCAAAACCUCGGCUGGGCCUGUGGCCAGUGCUCCCCUCCCUGCUCCCCGCUCCCACUGGGCCCAGGCCUCUUGGAGGAGCGGGGAGGUGGGGCUGGUCUGAGGUUGGGGCCUCGCACUGGGUGGAAUCACAUCUGGGGACUCCAACCUGGGAAUUCCCGCCCCCAGGCAGGGUGUGGAGAGGGGAAUUCUACUCAGAGAGGGAAAUGGGGGGCUGCUUGGAACAGGAGCCUGGGAGUAUGCUCUAGACCAAGGGACCAUUUCUGCUCAUUUUGAGCAAUCUGGGAAACAGGAGAGCAUGAACAAGCAGGAAGAAAGCCACCCUUCACCCCACCUCUUGGCAGAAAAAGCUGGCAGCACCUUACAUCCCAGGACACGCCCACAGACAGGACCAGCCUUCACUGGGCAAGGGCAGCUGGUCAAUGCUUUUGUCAGGGAGAAGGGCCCCUGGGUGGGAGUCCCAGGGUACUUGCUGUGCAUUUGAUCCCUGCAGGUCUUGAGGCCCCAGCCUGGCUUGUGUACUCUGACCUGUGCUGGGAACGACCCCAACAAAUGGCCUGCUUGACACCUUGGUGGACAGGAAGGAGCCCUGGGAGGAAGCAAUCACACACCAUCCUGCCAGCCCUGUCCCAGGAGCAUCUCCGGGGUCCCCGGGCUGCAGCUGCACACUGGGAACUGAAUAGCCCCCUCUGCACCACUUCUGACAGACCUGCUCGGCCCACCCCCAGGCUCUCAGCCCAGUGCUGGGCACCCCCACCCCAUAGUUGGGCUCUAAUCUGCUGAAGACAGUGCCGGAUCAGGGCACUGGGCCCUGGAGGCGGGGACCAGCUGGGGUGGGGAGGCUUGCAUGUAUGGGAAGGUUUUAGAAUCCAGGGGCUGAGCUCUCCUAUCCCCACGAGGUGAGCUAGUGUCCCCGCAGUGCCCCUGGGGUCUGGAGUAUGUAUCCAAGGAUGGCAGCCCUGGCAGGGGCUUUGUCCCUACAGCCCCUGCCCCCACUGCCUGCCCCCAGCCCAGGAAGGGCAGUUCCCAUGGGCCCCAACCCCUCCCCCACCUCGCCCCUGCCCGAUCGCCUUUGUGCAGCCAGG
rnacentral:lncRNA from 1 species